CUUCAUACGUAGCCCUCCUUAUCGAUCAUGUCGAAGACAAGAUAGAAAUUCCGGCUGGUGGAAGAAAGUUUGGAGUAUUUAUUCUGAUCUUGGAUUCAAAAAAACAUUUCGUGUAUCUCGAGGAAACUUUCCUUGUACAUAUAAAUUUUUUGCACUUUAAACAAGUGUAUUUUGUUAAACUUGUGCACGAAAUACAAGGGCCAUUACCAACACUCGCCGCCGCCAUGUUUUUACAACUUUGCGCAUGGCAUUUAGCAUGGAAAUAAUUGAUUUUUGCUUAGAAAUAUCUUAAAAUAAAUUAUGCAUUAAAUUCGGCUCAUGUAAAAUGCGACGUUUGAAUCAACAUCGAAUUUCCGUCGAAUAUUCGACUAACUCAGUCGAAUAUGCGACUAAAGUCGCAUUAAAUUAAAAUCCGUCGAAUUUAAUUGAUUCAAACGUCGCAUUUUACAUGCACAUAAUUCUCGCAUUUGAUUCGGCGCAUGUAAAAUGCGACGUUUGAACUGGGCCUUAUGUUGUCCCUAAUUAGCCCUUGCUAUCUUUCUUCACGUGCUUGUCGUGAACCAAUGAAAAACAAGCACAACGAUCACAUUGCCAAGCUCGAGCCAGUGUUGUACUUCACUGACUUACGUUAGCCAUAAAGUUGACGAGCAAGGUUAGCAUGAAAUGCAGGCAAAUCUUGCACGUGGCUCUGUUUUUUUUUUGGAUUCACUCGUGAAAUUAACACGGCCAAGUUUAAAAUUUGACGCCAUUGCAUUGCUUUUUGUUUUUUGAAUUGCUGAACGGAUACCGUUUUUAACGUUUAAAACGAAGCACAAGUGACAAAAUGUCUGACGAUUGGGAAGAGGAAUGCAACGUGUCUACUUUUGACAGCAAGCCAUUCGAAGGCAAUGGUUUUGAUAGUGGAUUUGGAGGUGGAUUUGAGGACAAUCCUACCAGUGGCUUUGCUGAAAGCGGAUUUGGGAGAGGAAGACGUGAAUUUGGGGGUGAUAGAUUCGACCAAAACUCAGACAGUGGCUUUGGUGGAAAGAGACGGUGGCUUUGGUGAUAGCACCAAUGACAAUGGUGAUGAAGGUGGUUUUCACAGUCGUAGAGGUCGUGGAAGGGGUGGUAGAGGUAGAUUUGACCAUCGUCAUGAUGAUUAUGCAGAGAAU